AGAGAAAUAAAGAGAGCAAGAGAGAGAAAGAGGUAGGGAGAGGAAUGGUAGAGAGGGAUAGGGGUGAGAUGACGGGAGGAGAGUGGAGAAAGAGAAGAGAGGGGUCUUAGAUUUGAUUUCAAGUUCAUAUAUUGUUUUUUCCUCACAGAGAUGAUAGGAUCCCACACUCUUAGAAAAAAACCUAAAAGGGUACUUCGGAUGUCCCUAUAUGAGAAUCCUUUGAAGAACCCUUCUUGGUUCAAGUUAGAACUUUUUGGGGUUCCAACAGAAGUCUCAGGGUUAAAGUGAGAGCGUGUGGUGAGGGAGGAAGAUGUGUGUUAACUGGUGUUUGUUUCCCUCUGUCUGGCCCCUUCCCUCUCUCGCCUAGCUGGUGUGGAUGGCCACUCUGAUCUUGACCGUGCUCUUCAAACCUGGCCUAUGCCUGGCAGCCUCCAUUGCCUUCUCGAUGCUCACGGUCAUCUUCAGGACCCAGCUUUUCAGGCCAAAGUACUCCUCUUCUAGGGCAGGUCCCUGAGACUGACAUCUACAGACCAGUGGAGGACUAUAAUCAGUAAUGCGUCCAUGGAGACAAGAUAAAUACAGCCAAAGGGACUACGGCGAUAUCAGUGUGGAGGUGGUGGAUGUCAGACUGGUGUUAUUGAGAAACUGGAAAGAUGAGGAUUCGUCAGUGAGAAAGUCACUAAAGUGUGUCUCUUCUCCCCAAUCCACAAAUGCUGUGCUUUACUGUCAGACAGACAGGGCCCAGAUGGACAGUGAUGACGAGGUGAAACACACACAAGCACGACACGUGCACACACACUGAUGCACACACCCUGAUGCCCCCAUUCUCAUCGACGGGGCUGCAGUGGAGCAGGUUGAGAGCUUCAAGUUCCUUGGUGUCCACAUCACCAACAAAGUAGAAUGGUCCAAGCACACCAAGACAGUCGUGAAGAGGGCACGACAAAGCCUAUUCCCCCUCAGGAGACUGAAAAGAUUUGGCAUGGGAUCCUCAAAAGGAUCUACAGCUGCACCAUCGAGAGCAUCACCAACUGGUUGCAUCACUGCCUGGUAUGGCAACUGCUCGUCCUUCGACCGCAAGGCAGGUAGUGGGUGGUGACAGAGGGUAGUGCGAACGGUCCAGUACAUUACUGGGGCCAAGCUUCCUGCCAUCCAGGACCUCUAUACCAGGUGGUGUCAGAGGAAGGCCCUACAAAUUGUCAAAGACUCCAGCCACCCAAGUCAUAGACUGUUCUCUCUGCUACCGCACGGCAAGCGGUACAGGAGUGCCAAGUUUAGGUCCGAGAGGCUUCUAAACAGCUACCCCCAAGCCUUAUGACUCCUGAAUACCUAAUCAAAUGGCUACCCAGACUAUUUGCAUUGCCCCCCCCUCUUUUACACCACUGCUACUCUCUGUUGUUGUCAUCUAUGCAUAGUCACUUUAAUAACUCUACCUUCAUGUACAUAUUACCUCAACUAACCGGUGCCCCCGCACAUAUAUCCCCCUGUAUAUAGUCUCCACAUUGACUCUGUACCGGUAUCCCCCUGUAUAUAGUCUCCACAUUGACUCUGUACCGGUAUCCCCCUGUAUAUAGUCUCCACAUUGACUCUGUACCGGUACCCCCCUGUAUAUAGUCUCCACAUUGACUCUGUACUGGUACCCCCCUGUAUAUAGUCUCCACAUUGACUCUGUACCGGUAUCCCUCUGUAUAUAGUCUCCACAUUGACUCUGUACCGGUAUCCCCCUGUAUAUUGUCUCCACAUUGACUCUGUACCGGUAUCCCUCUGUAUAUAGUCUCCACAUUGACUCUGUACCGGUACCCCCCUGUAUAUAGUCUCCACAUUGACUCUGUACCGGUAUCCCCCCUGUAUAUAGUCUCCACAUUGACUCUGUACCGGUAUCCCCCUUUAUAUAUCCUCCACAUUGACUCUGUACCAGUACCCCCCCUGUAUAUAGUCUCCACAUUGACUCUGUACCAGUACCCCCCCUGUAUAUAGUCUCCACAUUGACUCUGUACCGGUACCCCCCUGUAUAUAGUCUCCACAUUGACUCUGUACCGGUACCCCCCUGUAUAUAGUCUCCACAUUGACUCUGUACCUGUACCCCCUGUAUAUAGUCUCCACAUUGACUCUGUACCGGUACCCCCCUGUAUAUAGUCUCCACAUUGACUCUGUACCUGUACCCCCUGUAUAUAGUCUCCACAUUGACUCUGUACCUGUACCCCCUGUAUAUAGUCUCCACAUUGACUCUGUACCGGUACCCCCCCUGUAUAUAGUCUCCACAUUGACUCUGUACCGGUACCCCCCUGUAUAUAGUCUCCACAUUGACUCUGUACCGGUACCCCCCUGUAUAUAGUCUCCACAUUGACUCUGUACCGGUACCCCCCUGUAUAUAGUCUCCACAUUGACUCUGUACCGGUACCCCCCUGUAUAUAGUCUCCACAUUGACUCUGUACCUGUACCCCCUGUAUAUAGUCUCCACAUUGACUCUGUACCGGUACCCCCCUGUAUAUAGUCUCCACAUUGACUCUGUACCGGUACCCCCCUGUAAUUAGUCUCCAUAUUGUUAAUUUACCGCUGCUCUUUAAUUACUUGUUACUUUAUUAUUCUCAUCUGUAUUUUGUAAACUGCAUUGUUGGUUAGGGGCUCGUAAGCAUUUCACUGUCAGGUUCACCUGUUCUAUUUGGUGCAUGUGACUAAUCAAAUUUGAUUUGAUAUUUGAUUUGAAGUACAUGCAUGCACUACAAGCCCACACACUCACAAUUACUCACAUUCUUUUACAGUUUAUAACCUGUUUAUAUUGUACACAUACACUGAGUGUACAAAACAUUAGAAACACCUGGUUAAAGAAGGAUUUUUAAGUCUUGAGACAAUUGAGACAUGGAUUGUGUGUGUGCCCUUCAGAGAACAAAAGGGCAAGACAUAAUAUACAUGUCUUUGAAUGGGGUACAGUAUUAGUUGCCAGGCGCACCGGUUUGAGAGUGUCAAGAACUGCAACUCUGCAUAGUUUUUCACGCUCAAUAGUUUCCAUCUGUAUCAAGAAUGGUCCAUCACCCAAAGAACAUCUGGCCGGCUUGAAAUAACUGUGGGAAGCAUUGGAGUAAACAUGGGCCAGCAUCCCUGUGGAACCCUUUCGACUCCUUGUAGAGUCCAUUCCCUGACCAAUUGAGGCUUGGGGAAAAUGGGUUGUAUACUCAAUAUUGGGAAUGUUUUGUACACUCAGUGUAUAGACAAAUGGUUCUCUACAAACAUUUUGUUUUGUCGGGUUUAGGUUUUGGUUGCUGGCAGCUCUGUUUUAGUGUUCAGUAGCAUGCAUGGCUCUUUUGCAGCUCCACAGGGUGAUCUUACAUAUUUAUGGUAGUUGUUUUACGAGUGAUCGGUCAGGUUAUACUGAUAAAUGCUGAAAACCCUUACCUGAAACAGUCCAGUGGCUCUAUUUGAUCAAAUCUAACACAAUGGUAUGGGGGUGUGGCAGAAAUACUUUUACUAUUUUCACAGACGGAAUUGUGAGUGCAAUAGCUGGCGGUGGCUCGAAAGGGCUGGGUUUUGAUUAACAAACAAGUUGUACGUGUGAUGAGGGCUUGGCCACUCAACACAUUCCAUAGCCUAAUACUGCAUGCAUUUUUAUGAAGUUCUGUAGGUUAUUGAUGGGCUUUGCGUUGUCACCAACUACAAUUCAGCUGGAGGCAUUGAAUAUUCUUGUCCUGGUCCAUUGUGGCAUCCUAGUCCAUUGUGGAUUGAUACUACAGUUUAUGAAAUACUAUAGGCUACAGUAAAGAGUAAUAGCAACAGUAGGUGGUAGAUCAGCUUUAAUAUUGCAGAUAGAUUGUAGCGUCCAUCAAUGUAAUUGUCUGCAUCAUGUCUACUUCCAGCUUAUCCAUACUGUACACCUUUUACGGACACAUCUAUUUGACAGUAGAUAUAUUUAGUUUGUUUUUAGUCCUCUCCUUCCUCUACCCUCAACCUCUCUCAUCUAUUUCUGAUGUCCAUCCAGUUUGAUUUCUAUUUGCCAUGUAUUUUUAACUGUUUUGUUUCUACAAAGGUUCUGAACCUAUAUACAUUUUACGGACAGAAUAUAUUUUACAUGAGUAAUCUUGUUGUUAUUAGUCCCACCCUUCAGCUCCAUGCAACCCAUCCAUUUUGGAUUUCUAUUUGCCAUAUAUUUUUAAACUUGUGCUGUGAUGUUUCACAAAAGUUCUGAACCUUUCUAUUCUCAUCGUUUCUACAGAUUGUAAAUUAAAGAGAAACAUUUUUUGUUAAAACUAUUAUUAUAUUAUUGAUCGAUUGACUGUGACUUUUCAAAUCACCCAGUAGCGCUAUCUGCAGAGUUAGUUCUAGGCAAAUGUUGCAAUUCUUCAGCCAUUCCUGGACCUGUGACCAACUACAAGCUACAUAUGGACAGUACCAAAAUAAAUUAUCUAAUGACUAUGUUUCUUUGCAGCAAAAUCUGCAGAGCUGGGAAGGUUGUAUCCCCCAUUUAUAUAACAUUCUAUUGGUUGCAAGAAUUUUGUAUAAUAAUUUUGAUUGAAAAAUUCAAAGUUUUGAAUCCGGUGUUGUUUUGUGUAUCAGUUCAUAAACCAUGUGCCAUGGAAUCGGUACAUCCAAAAUCUUUUCCCAACUAGUUUGCAAUCUAUAUGGCACACCUGUCAUUUUUUUGGUCCUUAAAUUAAACUAGGAUACUUUUUUAUUUAUCACAAUUUUCUUUAAACAAAUUGUGGUCUUUAAUGCAGGGCCGGCAGACACGUUCCUUACAUCCAGUGUUUGCUCAAUAACCUUUUGGAGUGUUGGCAGUCAACAUUGUUGUAAUUGGCUUCAAC
ensembl:lncRNA